rnacentral:rRNA from 1 species
GAUGAACGCUGGCGGCGUGCCUAAUACAUGCAAGUAGAACGCUGAAGGAGGAGCUUGCUCUUCUGGAUGAGUUGCGAACGGGUGAGUAACGCGUAGGUAACCUGCCUGGUAGCGGGGGAUAACUAUUGGAAACGAUAGCUAAUACCGCAUGACAACAGUUAUUGCAUGAUAACUGUUUAAAAGGGGCAACUGCUCCACUACCAGAUGGACCUGCGUUGUAUUAGCUAGUUGGUGAGGUAACGGCUCACCAAGGCGACGAUACAUAGCCGACCUGAGAGGGUGAUCGGCCACACUGGGACUGAGACACGGCCCAGACUCCUACGGGAGGCAGCAGUAGGGAAUCUUCGGCAAUGGACGGAAGGCUGACCGAGCAACGCCGCGUGAGUGAAGAAGGUUUUCGGAUCGUAAAGCUCUGUUGUAAGAGAAGAACGAGUGUGAGAGUGGAAAGUUCACACUGUGACGGUAGCUUACCAGAAAGGGACGGCUAACUACGUG